ensembl:lncRNA
GGAGGGAGCAUGCGUACUUGUGACUCCAGUUUAAAAGGCGGCGGUCCAGGGGCAAGGUGAUACUGAGGAACACCGAGAGGCAAGGAGUGACUGAUGCAAAGCGAAAGCGUCCAGAAGGAGGCUGUUAGUUGUUGAGAGGAUUAGCCUGAGGAUAUCAGUCAUUCCUGAGUUCUGAGCAAAGAGAAAAACAAGACCUAUAGCUCUUGCUCAAGGCACAGUUGCGUGGCAUCAGAAAUCUAAACAGGCCGUUGCAUAAUCAGUUCCCUGGCAGAACCUAAGUAUGGGAUGCCAGAGACGGUUUGCUGGAGAAGGUAGCCCUCUGACAGAGAACCUCCCAAAUUAUGUAAGCUUCCAGACCCACUGAGCUGGAUCUGCCUUUGAUUGUGAGAAUGCUGUAGGAAAUAUACUGGACACACGUGAAAGAGUUUCGCGGGAUCAUAAGCCUAGCCUACAUGCAUCUUCAGCUUUACUAGCCAUAACUCUCAUCAUUUGGAACAGCAGAGUGGAAAAGAGCACUAGCCUGGCCAUCCAAAGUCCAGGUUCAAAUCUCAUCUGUAUGACCCACUAGCUGUGGGAUUGUGGAGAAGUCAUUUAAACUCUGGACUUCCUUUCCCAGGGCUGUUGACGGUAUUAACUGAAGCAUUUUGUGACUUUUGUGAUAGAGAAAUGUGUGUUGUACCUGCCUGAACACUCUCCAUCAUUUAUGAGUUUUAGAGUUAGGGAGUCCUCUCAAUUUCAUCAGCCAACUCUAUCAGAUUCCCAAGGUAGAAAGCUCAAGACUAAUUCAGUCUAUUUUGUGUACAUUUCUUUUAGGUACCGUCCUUCAAGCAUGCGUAAGAAUCACCAGCAGAGCUUGUUAAACAGCAAAUUCCUGGGCCUCGUGCCUCAUGGUUCUGACUCACUGGCUCUGUAGUUGGAUUUCAUCCUUUCCUUGGUUUCUUCCCUUUGGUUUCAGGAGCUCCUUACUUUGAGGCUUCAACUUCUUUUCUUAUGCUACAUUACCUUUAUUACUAUUUUUUUAGAUUUAAACUUCCAGUGUAUUUUCAGAGAAACUGUAAAACAAAACAAAACAAACUAACAAAAAACCAACCUACAGUCCAAGCUGCCUUGCAGGUUGCAAAAGAGGGAGGCAUCAGUGGGCAGAGGGUGGAACACGAUUUCAGGAGUGUAGAAAGAGCCCCUUCCUCAGCUGGCUCUGCUGAGGCCGAGGCCCUUUCCCGGCAGACCCCACACCACCCUGCCAUGCCUCACUCCUCCUGGAUCAGGAGCGUUCUGGUGGCCUCAGCCCUCUCUAGGCACAAGAGCUAGAAUUAAACUGGAGAUAAGCUCAAGCUCCCUUAAACCAAUGUUUUCCAGCUGUGAUCAUGGUGCUGGGGACUUGCAUAUUUGGAUAGUAAAACCAUAAUUAUGAUUCACAAAAUCCGUGUAAUGAGUUUCGACCAGCAGAAUAGAAAACAAUAUAUUUGUGUGUAUCUUGGGUAGUUAGAAUAAGUGCUGUUUUGUGAAAAUUCUAGCAUGCGAGAUGUAAAUAUAUUUCCCACUAUGGAUAGGCAAGAAAAAGUUUGAAAUCCACUGUCCUGAGCCCUCCCAUGUUGGCCCAGUGAAUAGCAUUAGGCCCCCGCCUAAGUCUCCUGUCAGCCCCAAAAGGAGGAUCUGGUUAGUGCAGGGUACAAGUGCUUGCUGGAACUUUUACAUACUGCAGGUUUUAAAGUUUCCUCUGAAAAAUUUAACUAAUUUUUGUUACUAUUCUAAAAAAAUAAUAUACAAACAUGGGAGAAAAAAAGUUUAGGCAGUAACGUAUGGUAUAAAAAAGAAAUUUUCCACCACCCUGCUUCCAUGUACCAUCCUUGAUGAUAACUACUAUUUAUCUUUACAUAAAUUUUCUAGACAUAAAAGUACAUGUAUGUGUUCAUGUGUUUAUCUACAUAUAUGUAUGUUACAUAUGUACACAUGCAAUUAAAUCUAGUCUUUAUUUGUUCUGCUGUUUUUUUUGCUUAAUGUAUUUUAAAG